AUUGAACGCUGGCGGCAGGCCUAACACAUGCAAGUCGCACGAGUGGCGGACGGGUGAGUAAUGUAUGGGAAACUGCCUGAUGGAGGGGGAUAACUACUGGAAACGGUAGCUAAUAACGCCUACCAUCGGAUGUGCCCAGAUGGGAUUAGCUAGUAGGUGGGGUAAAGGCUCACCUGGGCGACGAUCCCUAGCUGGUCUGAGAGGAUGACCAGACAAACUGGAACUGGGACACGGGCCAGACGCCUACGGCAGGCAGCAGUGGGGAAUAUUGCACAAUGGGCGCAAGCCUGAGGCAGCAAUGCCGCGUGUAUGAAGAAGGCCGUCGGGUUGUAAAGUACUUUCAGCGGGGAGGCGUUACCCGCAGAAGAAGCACCGGCUAACUCCGUGCCAGCAGCCGCGGUAAUAC
rnacentral:rRNA from 1 species